GCAGAGUUCAGUCAAAUAUCAGGCAAAAACCUGCAAACCGAAUUCUUUCAGGAACCGGACAGAUUCACAGACCGUUUCAUUGAUAUUUUCACGUCCAAAGAGGAGCAAUUGGCUGUAAACUGAAGAACAUUCUACAGCAGAUUGAUAAAUCUGACAUCAAUGGCGACGAAUCCACCGAGUUUUACAAGACAUGUUUUGACUGUGAUGACGAAAGAGAGAUGUCUGGCAUUUCGGUUGGCAUACUCACGGUGAUCCCUGAGGACUCACUCAAUGCAUCUAAACGCCACAUGCGGUCAUUUUGGAAGGAUGAUUGCGUU